UUGAUCCUGGCUCAGAGUGAAUGCUUAAGGUAUGCUUUACACAUGCAAGUCUAAAAAUUUGUUUUUAUAAAUAAAUUUUGGCGAAUAGGUGCGUAUUAAUAUGAGAAAUUAACCCGCAAAAACGUAAUAAUUUAUAAUUUCGUAUAAUAAUAGUUUUUAGUUUUGUUGAAAAUGAAACUAUUCUAGUUUAAAAAGAUUUUUUAAUCGAUUGCGGACAAGCUCGUAUAGGAUUCAGAUUGUUGGUAGGGUAAAGGCCUACCAAGUCGAUUAUCUUUAGCUGGUCUGGGAGGAUGGUCAGCCACAUUAGAUCUGGAAAACGUCUAACUAUCGAAGUGGUAGCAGCAGUGGGGAAUCUUGGACAAUGUGUUAACACACGAUCCAGCAAUAUCUUAGAGACUAAGAAGGUUUGAAAAAGACUGAAAGUUUUAGAAUAAUAAAAGAACAAGGUAUUUACUUGUACUUACUUUUAUUAUGUAAGCUCCGACUAACUUCGUGCCAGCAGUCG
rnacentral:rRNA from 1 species